UGGCGGGUAGUUCAAUUGGCAGAACGCUGGACUUUGGAUCCAGAAGUUGCAGGUUCGAUCCCUGCCCCGCCAG
rnacentral:tRNA from 1 species